rnacentral:rRNA from 1 species
GAAACGGGAAUAGCCCAUCGCGGAACUGCAGGUCAACUUGGCCUCGCGGAAUGUCGCGUUCGGGAGAGUCUUCUCGAGGACCGGACGGUCAGUCAAAGUCCAACUUGACAGUGGCCACUGCCCAUAGAGGGUGAUAGGCCCGUAAGGCGACUGUCCGUUCUCGCUGACUUUUCCCUAGAGUCGGGUUGCUUGGGAGUGCAGCCCAAAGUGUGAGGUAAACUCCUCAUAAGGCUAAAUAUGACCCCGAGACCGAUAGCAAACAAGUACCGUGAGGGAAGAUUGAAAAGAACUUUGAAGAGAGAGUUCAAUAGUACGUGAAACUGUGUGGUGGUAAACGGAGGGGUUCUCGAAGUUUCUGUGGGGAACUCAACCUUGGAGGCGUGCGGACCUGUUGUAUUUGAUCAGCGAUGACUUUGCAGCUUCUCUGGCAAGUCUCUCGGGCGCAUUUCCCCCGCAGUUUACGGCAGGAACCGUUUGGAGUGGACCGAAGGCCCUGGGUGAAGUUAUCGGUUC